rnacentral:rRNA from 1 species
ACUCAAAUGAAUUGACGGGGACCCGCACAAGCGGUGGAGCGUGUUGUUUAAUUCGAUGGUAAGCGAAGAACCUUACCAGGGCUUGACAUCCUUGGAAUUUUGGCGAAAGCCGAGAGUGCCUUUGGGAGCCAAGUGACAGGUGAUGCAUGGCCGUCUUCAGCUCGUGUCGUGAGAUGUUAGGUUAAGUCCUUUAACGAGCGCAACCCUUAUGGUUAGUUGAAUUUUUCUAGCCAGACUGCCCCGGCAACGGGGAGGAAGGAGGGGAUGAUGUCAGGUCAGUAUUUCCCUUACGCCCUGGGCGACAAACGCGCUACAAUGGCCAGUACAACGGGCAGCCAAGUCGCGAGACGGAGCAAAUCCCAACAAAACUGGUCCCAGUUCGGAUUGCAGGCUGAAACUCGCCUGCAUGAAGUCGGAAUCGCUAGUAAUCGCAGAUCAGCAUGCUGCGGUGAAUACGUUCCCGGGUCUUGUACACACCGCCCGU